rnacentral:rRNA from 1 species
GGAUUAGAUACCCUGGUAGUCCACGCUGUAAACGAUGGAUGUUAGAUGUCUGGACAUUAUGUCUGGGUGUCGAAGCUAACGUGAUAAACAUCCCGCCUGGGGAGUACGAUCGCAAGAUUAAAACUCAAAGGAAUUGACGGGGACCCGCACAAGCGGUGGAGUAUGUGGUUUAAUUCGAAGCUACGCGCAGAACCUUACCUGCUCUUGUAUGUAUCUUUAGUCUAAGAAGAAAUUUUUAGAUUCCAGUUCGCUGGACGGAUACACAGGUGCUGCAUGGCUGUCGUCAGCUCGUGCCG